CCCAGAUGGAACAGAAAGGCACAAAGAAGGUGAAUUCUCUCCCUCUCUCCUGAAACUGGGACACCCAGCUUCUAUCCUUGGGCAUCAGAACUCCAGGUUCAACAGCCUUUGGACCCUGGGACUUGUACCAGAGGCUCCCCAGCUUCCCGGCUUCUUCUCAGGCCUUCAGACAUGGACUCAGUGUGCUACUGGCUUUCCUCAUUCUCCAGUUUGCAGAUGACCUAUUGUGAAACUUCUCAGCCUCCAUAAUCAUACCCAAUUCCAUCAGCAGCCAUUGGAAGUUUUUGACAAAAUGGGAAGAUCACUGCUGUAUAUUUGUAGUUUAAAUAGCGAGCAUUUAAAGCUUUCUCUGAGGCAGUUUCUGGAAAGUUAAAGACUAAUGAGAAAAACAGCUGAAGAAACUCUCCCCAAUGAGUUUAUGUCCCUAAGCGAUGAAUUUUUGAAUGGUGCAAUGUUCUAACAUGUGAUGGACAGCGAAUUCCCAGAGAAUCAUCAAGUACACUUUGGAAUAAAUGAACAGCAGGACAUAUUUUUUAAGGAGUGCUGAGCCGCAGUAAAACUCCAGAGAAUGCUCUAAUUUCUUGAUUUAUUUCCUGGAUUUCCUCCUAAUAAACAAAGAAUGAUGAAAGCAAAUAUGCAAGGGCCAAGUUUCUACGGUCCAGCAAUCACAGAAUCAUUAAUGCUGUGAUGCUUCCAAGAAUAUGGGCAAACAGCAAGAGAAAGAAACUAGUAAACUUUGAAGAAAUCCCUUUGAGAAAAUUUUUAAAUGAUCCAGGAUAAAUAGAAAAUAAUGUGCUGCUGUUCAGAUAAAUUUACUGGAGAAACCACAAAGAUGAGAUUGUUAAGGAAGAGUCAAGGGAUGGGGACUAUAAAAUGCAUAUGCUUCUCCAGAUAACACUGAGUUUUCAGAGUGGCAACCAACAUUGCAGCUUUGAAAAGAAAAAAAAACACUUGGAAAGUGAAAAAGAAAGAGGGGAAAUUAUAUGUACAAUUAUCAGAAAAGCAACAUCUGAGAAUUCAGCAAUCACUAGCACAUAUGUGUGUUCUGUUUCGUUUAAACUCAGCUUCUCACCCUUGCUCAGGAUGCCCUCAGUGAACUGCCUGUGGGUCUUUCUGUUGUUGCACAGCCCCUCUUGAUGUCUUCCUAGUUGGAAAUGCACACUGUCUGCAAGAUUCCAGGCAGAUGCUUUCUCCUGCACAAGUAUUUCCCUGACCUCUACCUGGAAGCAAUUUCUCCUACUUCCUGAAACCCAGAGGAGAGUAUCUCUACUUCUCUAAUUAACAAAACUGCUUCCCCACCCACCAUGGUUACAUACCGAGAUAUAGAAGAACCAGAAACAUUGUGAAGUCAGCAUUAUUAUCCCCAGCUUAAUAAAAUUGAAAUUCAAGAUGCUUAAGUGACAAAGUGUAUUAUGGAUUGAAGUGUGUUCUCCAGAAAGAUAGAUGUUGAAGUCCUAACCCUCAGUCGCAGUGGAUGUGAUCUUAUUUGGAAAGUCUUUGCAGAGUUAAUUAAGAAAAGGCCAUCACAGUGGACCCCAAUCUAGCAUCACUUGUAUCUUGGUAAGAAAAGGAGAACAUGAUGUGAAGAUAGAUGUAUACAGGGAGAGCACCAUGUGACAGCAGAGCCCGAGACUCAAGUGAUGCGUCUUCUGGUCAAGGAAUGCAAAACAAGCAUGGCCACCAUCAGAAGCAAGAAGAGGCAAAAAAAGAUUCCACCUAGCGUCUUGGAGGGAGCAUGGCCCUGCUAACACCUUAAUUUUGGACUUCUACCCUCUAGAGCUGUGGGAGAAUUAGUUUCUGAUUUUAUUAAGCCACCAGGCUGUGGUACUUUGUUACGGAAACUCUAGGACCAAGAUAUAAGACCCAGUCUAACCUCAAAAUCUGAUUUUUAUAUUACACAGACCAUUCCACUUCUGAACACAAUAUUUGGAUUAUUUUUUGUGUUGUGUAAAUUAGUUUGCAUGGACACUGUCUUAGGCAAUUUAGGCUGCUAUGAGAAAAUACCAUAAACCAGGUGGCUUACAAACCACAGAUAUUUAUUUCCUCACAGUUUUGGAGGCUGGGAAGUCCAAGACCAAAGCACCAGCAGGUUCAGCGGCUGGUGAGGGCCUGCUUCCCCAUAGGCAGUGCCUUCUCUCUGUGUCCUCAUGUGGUGGAAAGGCUGAGGGGUCUCUCUGGGGCCUUUUUAUCAAGGGCCCUAACUCCAUUCAUGAGGGCUUCACCCCCACUUCCUAAAAUUAUUACCUUGUGGGUUAGGACUUCAAUACAUAAAUUUUGAGUGGGGACACACAGCUAUUACUGACUGGUAAAAGCAUUUUUUUUUUCAUCAAAAAAUUUCCCAAUUACCAAGAGCAACUUGGAAGACCAAACAGAAGUCAGGUUCUGGCUGUUGCUGGACAAAGUAGGGCUGCACAUACCUAACUGAUAAUUAGCUUAAUUUAGGUCACUGUGUUUCAGUCAGAAGAGAGCAGAAUAACAUAAGAACAAAAGGAGUAGUUGCUAUUUAUGUAAGAGUAAUGAGAGUGCCAAAGACAAUGUUCAUUGCACUCUUGAAUUACAAUAUGAGUCCUAAGACUAGAAGGAAGAUAAAGGGGUAAAUUGUAAAAAUUAAAAGAGGAAUCUAGGCCGGGCAUGGUGGCUUAUGCCUGUAAUCCCAGCACUUUGGGAGGCUGAGAUGGGAGGAUCGCCUGAGGUCAGGAAUUCGAGACCAGCCUGGCCAACAUAGUGAAACCCUGUCUCUACUAAAAUACAAAACAUAGCUGGGCAUGGUGGCAUGAGCCUGUAGUCCCAGCUACUCAUGAGGCUGAGGUAGAAGAAUUGCUUGAACCCAGGAGGUGGAGGUUGCAGUGAGCUGAGACCAUGCCAUUGCACUCCAGCCUUGGCGAAAGAGCGAGACUCCAUCUGAAAUAAAUAAAUAAAUAAAUAAAUAAUAAAAAAGGAAUCUACAAAAAUCCAGAGGGCAAUGGUAGAGUGAAGCAAAAAUAAAAGUUGAGAUUUGAGAAGAAUGAUUCAGAAGCAAAGUUUAUUGCCAUGUGAAGGAGCAUUUGCCUAAAAAUGAUACUAAGGAGAGGGGGAAAAAAAAACAGAAAAGUAUAGAGUCAUGAGAUCCAAGGAAUAAAAGGUAUUUUAACAGACAGGUGAGAAGGUGUGAAUUUUGAAUUAUCUGUUGGACUUAGGAAAAUGGAGACCCUCAGUGAUCUUAGCUGGGACUGUUUUGGUGGCAUAGAGGGAGCAGCAGCCAGAGUAGAACAGGCAGAGAAGGCAGUCGGAGGUGAUGAUGGAACAGACGCUGGAGGGAUGGAUUAUUGAGUGGACACUGAUGUGGCAUUGAUACAGUAUUUUAUACAAUGGGAGAGACUGAAACAUCUUAAGUGUUGCUAGAAAGAACCUAGCUCUAAGAGAGAUAAAAUAUACAAGACAGAAGAGAAAUAAUAAAUAACGUUUCCUGAGAAGGGCACGCUAUAUUUUGACAGUGUAGCACAAUUCAGCUUUUAAAACUUCAUAAAUAUUAUUAGCUGUAUCAUAUCAGAUUGUGAAAACUUACUUGUAAGUUUAACUUUCUAAUAUAGAUUAUCAUAUUUUAUGAAAUAUUUUUUCUGCAUUUGAGAGCAUUUAUUACCUUUGAAUGGAAUGGAUUACAUUAAUAGUUUCUGAGUUUACAUCACAACCGCAUUUUCUAGAUAAAUCACAUUGUAUUAUGAGAAAUAUACUACUGAUUCUAUUUAUCAUUAGUUCUGUCUGAAUCCAUGUUCAUACAUUAAUUUCUCCAUAUUUGUCUUUUCUUUUAUUCUUGGACAAGUUUGUGUGCCAAUGUUAUACUGGUGUCUAAAAUGAGAUAGAAUUUGUUCAUUUUCUGAAGUAGCUUGUGUAAAAUAGAGAAUUUAUCUCUUUUAGAAUGACACAUUUGUAAAACCAUCUGGGUCUGCUGUAUUGGGAUGGGACACUGGUAGGGAUAUACUUGUGAUGAUAUUUCAUGGUUGAUUCAUUUUCUGGAGUGGCUAUUGUUUUCUUGAGACAAUCUUGAUUCCUAACUGUUUACUAAAAAUAUUAUUUGUUUUUGAAUAUUUUGCAUAAAGUUUUUCAUAUUAUUCUCUUAUUACUCUUCAUUUCUAUCUUUAGAUAUGCUCCCUUUUCUUUUCUAAAAUUGUAUAUUUGUGCACCGUCUGUGGAAAUUUGCUGAUUUCAUUAGUCUUCUCAAAGAUCUUGUCAUGAUUGUAAAUGUGAGGAAAAUGGAAGGGCACAACAGCAAAAGGGCUUGGAGAUCCCACUCUGAUUGGCAGUAGAGCCAGGUCUCCUGAUGCCCAGCCUAUGAACUCCCCCUUGGACUUGCUGCCUUGCCCUAGCGUACUACCCUAAUUCACUUAAACUUAUGCUGAGGCAAACAAAGUUUUUACUUGGUUAUGUGCGGGUAGAAAAAGCUGCAAUGUGACACUAAGUGCAAGUGUAAACAGAUUGGAAGCAAUGACUCCUCACCCUGCAUUGAACCCCGCAAAGAGUCCUCAGUGUUUCAUGAACAAAACCAAGGAACAAACAGAACCCCACCAACAACAGUUGUCAUCCAUCAAUACCAAGCCACACCCAUGGAACAUAAAUGUGAAGGCCAAUAUGGGGUUCAGAAUGUUGCCUUGUAUUGGAAAGAAGAAUAUGCUCAUAAAAUUUCUAGAUGUGCUUUUUAACCAUUGAGUUUUGCUAGGUUUAAGAUGUACCUUUAACUCAGUGGACCUAAUUUUUCUUUAAAACAUUUUAAUGUAGAGUGUUUCUUUAAAACACUUUAACAAAAGAGAAAAAAUGUGAUAGAUUCACUUACAGUGAAAGACAAUGAAAUGUCUCUUGUGAUGGCAAGCAAUAGCAAAUAAUUAAGAAAAAUGCUUCUGACUUCUUUCUGUAAUUUGCAACCCUUUCCAGCAAGAGACAUUUAUUUAUUAAAGUUCUCAAGAGGAAUUCUCACUGUGAGAAAAUGACAAUGCUAUUUAUUUAACCCAAAUGGGAAAUAUCCAUAAAAUUUUCUUCUCUUUAUCUACCACAUUCAAUUUGACAGUAAUGUUUAUAAAUAUAAAUGAUAUCCGCUCCACAGAUCUUAGCAUACAUCUUUAAUCUUGAAAAUAGUAACACUCUUAGAACCUAGAUUGCCCAAAAUAGCCACAUAAUUUAACACUACCUGGUUCAUUCAACAUGUCCAAAAUUGAAUGCAUUCUUUUCCCAAGCAAAAUGGCCACAAAACUUCUCUGUUUCUUUAGUAGUGACUGCUGGUUAUCUAUCCAGUAUCUGUUUAGUUCUUCUCACAUAGAAUCAAAACCUUCAUUUUAUUUUAGGGUGGUCAGAAGCCUGGAUAAAGACUGCAUUGACCAAACACUCUUGUAGCUAGUUAGCGUCAUGUGAAUACUUCCAGGUGAUGUAAUAUAAGCCUAAGUAUGCAGGUGAGGUUGCCAGGGAAGCUCUUCAAAUAGAUGUGCUAUUAUCCCCUUAGUCCAAUUUUUCUUUUAUUUCAUCUUUGAAUAUUGUGAUAGCUAGAGAUCUAGCGGCCAUUCUGGAAUGUAAGAGAAAUUCUAAAAAUGAGACACCUGGGUUCUUGAUGUCUACAGAAACCACUAUAUUAGCUAUCGUUCUCCAACAUAAUAAGCAAGCAUCCAUUGCUCAUUAAAUAUUUUCCAUUUGCUCUGAUAUUCAUAGCCUCAGAUGUCAUUUCCCCCAUUCUCAAUCUGCAAAGGCCCAAGCAGGUGGUAACUAUCUCACGAGAUUUGUUCCCACAUCCUCCAUGAGAGUGAAUCAUUCCGACCCCAUGUCAGGGAGUACUCCUUGCUUGUAGAUCUCAUCUUGCCAUCUCCACCUGCUUAAGUGCUCCUCAAGGACAAUGAUUGUGGCUCUGCUAUUGAUUAGUCCACCACCCCAUGUUUAUAGUACCCACUACCUACUUAUGUGCAUGGAAUGAGAUCAAAGGUGUUAGUUGAAGGAAUGAAUGUGUGUUUGAGUGUGCAUACAUGUGCAUGUGUGAGUAUGUAUGCUUGUAUGUGCAUGUGUGCAUAUGUAUGUCUGUGUGUAUGUGUGAAAGGGCUUUGAAUUAUUCAAGUGUGUGAAAUUGAGUUGUAACAAGUCAUCAAAAAAAUCCACUGAGCUGAAAUAAUGCAGCAGGCCAAAGCAAAAGCCAAAGGAGAAACAUAGUUAACCCAGUUUGAAAAUUUAAAGUGUCUGUAACUCCUACUUAGGCAGAAACAUUUGUGAUUAUGCUAAUAUUCAUGUCAUUCUCAUUAACACUAAUAGUGUGCCUAUGGGGGGAGGUUGUGGGGUAUGUAUGUGGCUGUGUAUUUUCUAAGAUGUUUUGUAAGAUGUCAUGUUGAGCUAUUUUUCAAUUCAAUGCUUAUUAAAUAAACUACCUAUGACC
rnacentral:lncRNA from 10 species